rnacentral:rRNA from 1 species
CUUGGUCAUUUAGAGGAAGUAAAAGUCGUAACAAGGUCUCCGUUGGUGAACCAGCGGAGGGAUCAUUACAGAGUUGCAAAACUCCCAACCCUUUGUGAACGAACCUAUUAGUUGCUUCGGCGGGAGGCCCCUCAGGGGGUAGACCGCCGGAGGAAUACAAACUCUUUGCAUUUUUAGCAUCUCUGAGUACUUAUUUUAAUAAGUUAAAACUUUCAACAACGGAUCUCUUGGUUCUGGCAUCGAUGAAGAACGCAGCGAAAUGCGAUAAGUAAUGUGAAUUGCAGAAUUCAGUGAAUCAUCGAAUCUUUGAACGCACAUUGCGCCCGCUAGUAUUCUGGCGGGCAUGCCUGUUCGAGCGUCAUUUCAACUAUCAAGCCCCAGGCUUGUGUUGGAGCCCUGCGGCUGCCGCAGCCUCCCAAAAUCAGUGGCGGGCUCGCUAUCACACCGAGUGCAGUAGUUUACUCUUCGCUCAGGUUCGUGUAGCGGGUGCUAGCCAUAAAACUCCCCACUCCUCAAGGUUGACCUCGGAUCAGGUAGGAAUACCCGCUGAACUUAAGCAUAUCAAUAAGCGGAGGA